CCCCUCUCAGGGUCGCACCUGAAGGGUUUCCAGGACUCUACCAGUCUCGGCUACUGGAGGGAGAGUCAAGCAGAGGCCUCCCCAUUCCAUUCCUAGCUUGGGCAGUGGUUAGCGAGUGGAAGGUGAUCUGCUACGAGU